CGUACACUCCUACGGGAGGCAGCAGUGGGGAAUAUUGGACAAUGGGCGCAAGCCUGAUCCAGCCAUGCCGCGUGAGUGAUGAAGGCCCUAGGGUUGUAAAGCUCUUUCACCGGUGAAGAUAAUGACGGUAACCGGAGAAGAAGCCCCGGCUAACUUCGUGCCAGCAGCCGCGGUAAUACGAAGGGGGCUAGCGUUGUUCGGAUUUACUGGGCGUAAAGCGCACGUAGGCGGACUAUUAAGUCAGUGGUGAAAUCCCGGGGCUCAACCCCGGAACUGCCUUUGAUACUGGUAGUCUUGAGUUCGAGAGAGGUGAGUGGAAUUCCGAGUGUAGAGGUGAAAUUCGUAGAUAUUCGGAGGAACACCAGUGGCGAAGGCGGCUCACUGGCUCGAUACUGACGCUGAGGUGCGAAAGCGUGGGGAGCAAACAGGAUUAGAAACCCCAGUAGUCCCAUGA
rnacentral:rRNA from 1 species